GACAGAGGGGGCAAGCGUUGCUCGGAAUCACUGGGCGUAAAGGGCGCGUAGGCGGGGUGGCAAGUCGGUCGUGAAAUCCCUCGGCUCAACCGAGGAGCGUCGGCCGAUACUGCCGUUCUUGAGGGAUGCAGAGGAGACUGGAAUUCCCGGUGUAGCGGUGAAAUGUGUAGAGAUCGGGAGGAACACCGGUGGCGAAGGCGGGUCUCUGGGCAUCUCCUGACGCUGAGGCGCGAAAGCGUGGGGAGCGAACGGG
rnacentral:rRNA from 1 species